rfam:Papio anubis isolate 1X1155 chromosome 19, whole genome shotgun sequence.
AUUUAUGGUCAUACUACUCUGAACCCAGAAGCUAAGCAGGGUCAGGUCAGGACAGUACUUAGAUGGGAGAGUACCUGGGACUACUGGGUGCUGUAGGCU